UAAGGAAUAUUGGUCAAUGGACGCAAGUCUGAACCAGCCAUGCCGCGUGCAGGAUGAAGGCCUUCGGGUUGUAAACUGCUUUUGUACGGAACGAAAAGGUUUGGCCUAAUAAGCUGAGCUCAUGACGGUACCGUAAGAAUAAGCACCGGCUAACUACGUGCCAGCAGCCGCGGUAAUACGUAGGGUGCGAGCGUUAAUCGGAAUUACUGGGCGUAAAGCGUGCGCAGGCGGUUAUGCAAGACAGAUGUGAAAUCCCCGGGCUCAACCUGGGAACUGCAUUUGUGACUGCAUAGCUGGAGUGCGGCAGAGGGGGAUGGAAUUCCGCGUGUAGCAGUGAAAUGCGUAGAUAUGCGGAGGAACACCGAUGGCGAAGGCAAUCCCCUGGGCCUGCACUGACGCUCAUGCACGAAAGCGUGGGGAGCAAACA
rnacentral:rRNA from 1 species